AGCAGCCGCGGUAAUUCCAGCUCCAAUAGCGUAUAUUAAAGUUGUUGCAGUUAAAAAGCUCGUAGUUGAAUUUCGGGAUCAAUAUGUUGGUCGUGCCUUGGUACGUACUGGCAUUAUCGAUUCCUACCUUCUGAAGAACCUCGAUGUCAUUAAUUUGGUGUCUUGGGGAAUCAGGACUGUUACUUUGAAAAAAUUAGAGUGUUUAAAGCAGGCUCGCGCUUGAAUACAUUAGCAUGGAAUAAUGAAAUAGGACGUUUGAUUCUAUUUUGUUGGUUUCUAGGAUCGACGUAAUGAUUAAUAGGGAUAGUUGGGGGCAUUAGUAUUCAAUUGUCAGAGGUGAAAUUCUUGGAUUUAUUGAAGACUAACUACUGCGAAAGCAUUUGCCAAGGAUGUUUUCAUUAAUCAAGAACGAAAGUUAGGGGAUCGAAGACGAUCAGAUACCGUCGUAGUCUUAACC
rnacentral:rRNA from 1 species